CGACCGGCGCACGGGUGAGUAACGCGUAUGCAACCUGCCCGAUACCGGGGUAUAGCCCAUGGAAACGUGGAUUAACACCCCAUAGUACUUUUAUCCUGCAUGGGAUGUGAGUUAAAUGUUCAAGGUAUCGGAUGGGCAUGCGUCCUAUUAGUUAGUUGGCGGGUAACAGCCCACCAAGACGAUGAUAGGUAGGGGUUCUGAGAGGAAGGUCCCCCACAUUGGAACUGAGACACGGUCCAA
rnacentral:rRNA from 1 species